UCAUGAUAAUUUGUCAAGAGUGGAAAUAACCAACUACAUCAUGGCUACACAACUAUGCUAUUCCCAAGCACUGAUAAGUCAAGAGAAACUGUUGCUUAUCAUAACAUGAAAUUUGCAUUCCAGAAUAAAACUAGCCUUGAUGUUGGGAGCCAAGUGGCAACAACAAAGAGAGGGACAGAUAAAAUAAUAUAGAAAAAAAGGAAGUUCUGCUUUUUUAUCACCAGUGAAUAUGAAAAAUGCUAAGAAUGACUUUUGACUAAAUAAUGUAGUAAUUAUCAGCACUAUAAACAAAGAGUCGUUCACGGAAGCUUGAGAUAUUCCUUGUUCUAGAGACUAUAGACUUUUUCCAUUGUCUAUAAAUACCAAUGUUACUUCUACUAUGUUGAUUACAGAGAAAGGAGGCAGAGUGAGAGAGAGACAGAGAGAGGAAAAGGAUUCAAUUAAUAUUUUCUUGAGCAGGAAUGUUUCACCGCCAAGUGGGACAUUGUACAGGUUUCAGACUGGAGCAGACACAUCUAGUUCUUGGAGAGAAAUGGAAAGAUUUUGCACAGGUCGCCAACAAAUAUCCUUCCUUUAGCACAGAUUUGACUGGUGCUCCACCCACUGACCUGGACAUCAUCAUAGGUGAUCUGCACAUGCCCAGAAGUUUCUGCGCAUGUGCAGAAGAGCGUGUGCAUGAGGACAUGAUGUGAACCAGUAGUAAAGUUCCAGAUUAUGUGGCAGCCAUCCAGGGAGUUCAAUUGACUCAAGGAAUUCUGUUGAAAAAUGAGUAACAUUAGCAACUUCACCGGGAGCAUUGAAGGAACAAUAUUAUUUCAUCAUUCCGGAGAAGCGACCUUUCUUAAAGGAAAACAUUGAUUUCCCCCCAAAGAUAUACAGAAGGACAAUCAAUCAAUGACAGAAUUGCAAGUAAACCAACAACAAAACUAUCCCUAGUUUAUUCAGUUAUACUCCUUAAGGUCAUGCAUUUAUCUUUCAUACAUUGUUGGAGAACUGUUCAUAAUCCAAAACAAUUUUCACAUUCUUGUUGUUUUUGGGAAAUAUACAUGAAUAAAAAAUAAUGG